AUGAUUUUUCUGCCCCAUAGUGGAUUUGUAUGGUAGAAUUUUGUGCUCUCAUACUCUGGUUGAGUUGUGACGCAGUUCUAUAAGCCGGCAUUGUGUAGAAGUCUUUGUUUGUUCCUGUCCCUAUGCAAGUUCCAGUUGAUUGCCCUGAAAAGUUUCAAUUUCCCAGAAGAGCCCCCUUUGUGAUUUGUGUAUGGAAUGUCUACCCCACACCCCACCCUCCAGUGAUUGCCCUGAAAUUGAAGAAAGAAGCCAUGUCCUCCCCCUGCCCCCUGCCUCAGUUCGAUGACCCUGUUUGUUGAUGAACCCCUCCCCUGUAGUUUGUGACUGUGACGAAGAGUUUUUUUUGUUUUUAAGGUAUGAUACGUUUUUUUAAUUUUACUAAAUUUCAAGUGGAUAAAUUGCUGGUAAAUAAUUGUAUAAAGAAAUUUGCUUUCAUAAUGGUAAAAAAAGGCAGUGACUUAUGACAUUUGACAGCUACGUCAAAUCUUGUGUUGAAAUAAAUAGGUCAAAUUUUAUUUGACAUAUACUGCCCAACAAGUUCAAUUGUAAUUGUUUUGUUUGUAAUCAUUGUAAUCAUUGUUUUUGUAGUAAAAUUUUGAAUAAACCUGGUAAGAGUUUAAAGUUUUGAAUAAACGUUUUGUAAGUGUA